AUGUUUAGCGCGGAGGAGCCAAGCGAUGUGGACGAAGCGCUGGCUAGCAAGGCAUGGAAAGGGGCCAUGGAUGUCGAGAUGCAGUCCAUUGUCGAAAAUGGCACAUGGAAGCUUGCUCAACUCCCGGCUGGGCACAAAGCAAUAGGACUGAAGUGGGUGUAUCGUGUCAAGCAUGAUCCGGCAGGCAAUGUAGUCAAGCACAAAGCUCGUCUCGUCGCAAAGGGAUAUGUCCAGCGUCAGGGGGUGGAUUUUGAGGAGGUUUUCGCCCCCGUAGCUCGCAUGGAGACAGUUCGGCUGCUGCUGGCUCUCGCCGCGCACUCUGGCUGGGAAGUUCACCACAUGGACGUGAAAUCAGCCUUCCUGAACGGCGAUCUCACUGAGGAGGUAUAUGUUGAUCAGCCACCGGGGUAUGAAGUUGCAGGCCAGGAAGGAAAGGUACUCCGACUGCACAAGGCUCUGUAUGGGCUGCAUCAGGCACCGCGGGCGUGGUAUGCAAAGUUGGAUGAAACUCUCACCUCCCUUGGUUUCACGCGAAGCGCUCUGGAGCAUGCUGUGUACCGACGAGGUAACUCACAAUCACACUUGUUGGUUGGAGUGUAUGUAGAUGAUCUGAUCAUCACAGGAACCACAACAGCAGAUAUCAUCUCUUUCAAAGAACAGAUGCAGAAACUCUUCAAAAUGAGUGAUCUCGGGCGGCUAAGUUACUAUCUGGGAAUUGAGGUAGAUCAAAGUAGCAAUGGAAUUACUCUGAGUCAGAAGAGCUGUGCGGGCAAGAUUCUGGAGAUUGCAGAGAUGAGCAACUGCAACAGUUGCCACACACCAAUGGAGUGUCGUCUGAAACUGAAAAAAGAUGAUGACUGUGAUCUGUUUGAUGCUACCUUGUACCGCAGAGUGAUUGGGAGCCUGCGCUAUCUUGUGAACACAAGGCCAGACAUCGCACAUUCAGUGGGUAUUGUCAGUAGAUUCAUGGAGAAGCCAAGCACUAAUCACUGGGCAUCGGUCAAACAGAUACUGAGGUAUAUCAAAGGCACAAUGCACUAUGGGUGCAGCUACAAGAGAGGACACGGAACUGCUGAACUGAUUGGGUUCAGCGAUAGCGAUCAUGCUGGGGACGUCGGUGAUCGCAAAAGCACUUCUGGACAUGUUUUCUUCCUUGGUAAGAAUCUGAUUACUUGGAGCUCCCAGAAGCAGAAGAUCGUCGCUCUCUCUUCCUGUGAAGCAGAAUAUGUUGCAAUAGCAGCUGCCACUUGUCAGGGACUGUGGCUGAGCCGACUGCUGGAGGACAUCACAGGUACCUCGCCGGGGCAGUUCAAAUUACUGGUGGACAACAAAUCAGCCAUAGCUCUGAGCAAGAACCCAGUUCAUCAUGAUCGAAGUAAACACAUUGAUGUCAAGUUUCACUUUGUGAGAGAUUGCAUGGAGAAGAAACAGGUGGAGAUAGAUCAUGUUGGAACUCAGGACCAGCUCGCCGAUGCACUCACCAAAGCGCUUGGGCGCGUUCGUUUCAUCGAGAUGCGACAGAGGCUUGGGAUGAUCGGCGUAGUGCAGUGA
rnacentral:rRNA from 1 species